UACGGGGGGGGCAAGCGUUGUUCGGAAUUACUGGGCGUAAAGGGCUCGUAGGUGGCCAACUAAGUCAGACGUGAAAUCCCUCGGCUUAACCGGGGAACUGCGUCUGAUACUGGAUGGCUUGAGUUCGGGAGAGGGAUGCGGAAUUCCAGGUGUAGCGGUGAAAUGCGUAGAUAUCAGGAGGAACACCAAUGGCGAAGGCAGCUCGCUGGGACGGUACUGACGCUGAGACGCGAAAGCGUGGGGAGCAAACAGG
rnacentral:rRNA from 1 species